rnacentral:pre_miRNA from 1 species
CUAAGGACCUUAAUCCAAAGCCCACUGAAGUCAAUGGAAGUCUUUCCAUUGAUUUCAAUGGGCUUUGGAUCAGGCCAUUAACAG